rnacentral:rRNA from 1 species
ACUCCUACGGGAGGCAGCAGUGGGGAAUAUUGGACAAUGGGCGCAAGCCUGAUCCAGCCAUGCCGCGUGAGUGAUGAAGGCCUUAGGGUUGUAAAGCUCUUUCAGUGGGGAAGAUAAUGACGGUACCCACAGAAGAAGCCCCGGCUAACUUCGUGCCAGCAGCCGCGGUAAU